GCCGCCUCGCAGAGCCUCCGCCCCGGGGACGGGCAGCACCCGUGCACCGGAGUCCCAGCAGAGUCCCAGAGACUCAACGUUUCUUUCCUCAGUUAACAAGGUUUGUCCAGAGCAGUGUGUUUUCUACAGAAACUCAGAUGUUGCUCUAAAUGGAGUUUCCUGGAGUUCCAUGCUGGCCAUAAGCCUCCUGUGAAUAAUGCAGAGAAAAAGGAGAUCGCAGUUCGAGCCGAUUCCCUCUGCCCGCCGACUCUAGAAACAACCUCUUCCCUCCUUCUCACGAAUCAAGAUUCCACGCCACAGGUUAGCAUUGCAUAUGGCCAAGUCAGCAGCCUCUGAACUAAAUUUUUGAUGAAUUCAACUGUAAAAUAUUCACAACCUGGAAAUUCAUAACGUGAUUCAUGUUUUUAUCAUUUUUUUUCUAUGUGAUCUCAUAAAUGCAACAGAAAAUAUUAGUCAUGAGGCAACAUGAGGUUGGGACCCACAUGAAGAAACAGCUCCCCCGAGGAAAAUAAAAUGAACCUCCUCCCAGGACCCAGACCUCCCUAGAGGAGCCACGGUGUUUUCGUUUUAAAAGAUAGUCAAAAUAAAUAAAGAUAUGUGGAUGCAGAGCCAGCAGUGGCGGCCGCUCCCUCCUCCGGUUUCAUUUCGCAGUGGGGAUGCUCCUAAAUGAACCUGCUCCAGAAACUGAAGUUUGAAAUGGAGCUCCUAACUCAUUUUGUCACGCAGCUGAGAAAUGCCCCUUUUAAUGGAAAGAAACAGAAAAGGACAAUUCCAUCUUUGAUUGAUGGACUGCAUUACGGGGUAUAAAUAAAAGGAAGUGUGAUAACCUCACUGUGGCACAGGCCAACCGCAGAGUCCCUAACUGGGGUGGCUGUGUCUACAUGGGACUACCAGAGGUGGCCAUGCAUGGCCUGGUGGUCAGGGCAGGGAGCAUCGAUGGAGAGCUUGCACCCCGUGAGUGGGACUGCCAGAGGGCCCCCAAGACAUCCCCAACGUGAGCGUUUCACUUUUCAGGUGGGGAAACUGAGGCCCACCAUGGUCUGUCCCACCAGAGGUUGUCUCGUGACAAACCCAGGCACAGGAAUUCCCACCCAGGUCUUCUUAGGAGCUAGAACAUUCUGCCCACUUCUUCACCAUUUGUCGUCUCCUGGAAAUUAUUGGAAAUUAAAGUGGAUUUGUCAACACUCGACUGAGCAAUGUCUUUGAUGUUGCAGAGGAAAUUUG
rnacentral:lncRNA from 1 species